UCAGGAUGAACGCUAGCUACAGGCUUAACACAUGCAAGUCGAGGGGCAGCAUGUGGUUGCUUGCAACCAAUGAUGGCGACCGGCGCACGGGUGAGUAACGCGUAUCCAACCUUCCUGCCAGUAGGGAACAGCCCGGCGAAAGUCGGAUUAAUGCCCUAUGUUCUUCAAUGCGGACAUCUAAGUUGAAGGAAAGAUUCAUCGCUGGCAGAUGGGGAUGCGUCCGAUUAGCUUGCCGGCGGGGUAACGGCCCACCGGGGCGACGAUCGGUAGGGGUUCUGAGAGGAAGGUCCCCCACACUGGUACUGAGACACGGACCAGACUCCUACGGGAGGCAGCAGUGAGGAAUAUUGGUCAAUGGGCGUAAGCCUGAACCAGCCAAGUAGCGUGCAAGGAUGACGGCCCUACGGGUUGUAAACUGCUUUUAUGCGGGGAUAAAGUGCGGCACGUGUGCCGCUUUGCAGGUACCGCAUGAAUAAGGACCGGCUAAUUCCGUGCCAGCCGCGGC
rnacentral:rRNA from 1 species